UGUUGAAUGUGGACUUGGAUGUUGCCGCUGUCCAACGGCUCAUCUGAAAUGCUUGAGUGUACCCUGCUUUGCACGCGUAUCAGUGUGAUAAACAUCUUCACUGUUAAGUCUCUAGGGACACGCUAGUGUUGCAGGCUCUAUGCUUCCAACCGUCUCAGGACAAUCUCUGACAAUUUGACCUCAAAUCGGGUGGGACUACCCGCUGAACUUAAGCAUAUCAAUAAGCGGAGGAAAAGAAACUAACAAGGUAUCCCCUAGUAACGGCGAGUGAAGAGGGAAAAGCUCAAAUUUUGAAUCUGGUGUCUUUGACUCCCGAGUUGUAAUCUAGAGAAGUGUUUUUCUGCGUUGGAUCCGUGCAAAAGUUCCCUGGAACGGGGCGUCAUAGAGGGUGAGAAAUCCCGUAUAUGGCACGGACUACCAUUGCUAUGUGAUACACUCUCAACGAGUCGAGUUGUUUGGGAAUGCAGCUCAAAAUGGGUGGUAAAUUCCAGUCUAAAGCUAAAUAUUGGCGAGAGACCGAUAGCGAACAAGUACCGUCGAGGGAAAGAUGAGAGAA
rnacentral:rRNA from 1 species